UAGUUUGACUCUGGCUCGAGGACGACGCUGGCGGCGUGCUUAACACAUGCAAGUCGACGGAAAGGCCCUGCUUUUGUGGGUGCUCGAGUGGCGAACGGGUGAGUAACACGUGAGUAACCUGCCCUUGGACUUUGGGGUAACUUCAGGAAACUGGGGGCUAAUACCGGAUAGGAGCUCCUGCUGCAUGGUGGGGGUUGGAAAGUUUCGGCGGUUGGGGAUGGACUCGCGGCUUAUCAGCUUGUUGUGGGGUAGUGGCUUACCAAGGCUUUGACGGGUAGCCGGCCUGAGAGGGUGACCGGCCACAUUGGGACUGAGAUACGGCCCGGACUCCUACGGGAGGCAGCAGUGGGGAAUAUUGCACAAUGGGCGGAAGCCUGAUGCAGCAACGCCGCGUGCGGGAUGACGGCCUUCGGGUUGUAAACCGCUUUCGCCUGUGACGAAGCGCGAGUGACGGUAAUGGGUAAAGAAGCACCGGCUAACUACGUG
rnacentral:rRNA from 1 species